rnacentral:rRNA from 1 species
GACGAACGCUGGCGGCGUGCUUAACACAUGCAAGUCGAGCGAGGCCCCUCCUUCGGGAGGGUGUCCUAGCGGCGAACGGGUGAGUAACACGUGGGCAACCUGCCCUCAGCUCUGGGAUAACUCCGGGAAACCGGGGCUACUACCGGAUACGACCUCCACGGGCAUCUGCGGAGGUGGAAAGUUUUUCGGCUGAGGAUGGGCCCGCGGCCUAUCAGCUAGUUGGUGGGGUAGUGGCCCACCAAGGCGACGACGGGUAGCCGGCCUGAGAGGGCGACCGGCCACACUGGGACUGAGACACGGCCCAGACUCCUACGGGAGGCAGCAGUGGGGAAUAUUGCGCAAUGGGCGAAAGCCUGACGCAGCGACGCCGCGUGAGGGACGAAGGCCUUCGGGUUGUAAACCUCUUUCAGCAGGGACGAAGCGAAAGUGGCGGUACCUGCAGAAGAAGCACCGGCCAACUACGUG